ACACCUGAAAUCAAGCAAGAUCACCCGCUGAACUUAAGCAUAUCAGUAAGCGGAGGAAAAGAAACUAACAAGGAUUGCCUUAGUAGUGGCGAAUGAACCGGCAAUAGCUCAAAGUGUAAAUCUGAGGCAUCAAGUCUUAGAAUUGUAAUCUAUAGGCCUUUUAGGGAAGCCAUGGUUCUAGCAUAAGUUCCUUGAAAAGGGAUGCCAAAGAGGGUAAAAGCCCCGUAUUUGGUUAGGACUGGGUGUACCGAAGGGUUCCAAGAGUCGGGUUGUUUGGGAUUGCAGCCUAAAAUGGGAGAUAAACUUCUUCUAAAGCUAAAUAUUUAUGGGAAACCGAUAGCAAACAAGUACUACGAAGGAAAGAUGAAAAGAACUUUGAAAAGAGGGUUAAAAGACUUGAAAUCGUUGAGGAGAAAAGCGGUAGAAGAGAAAUGAUUUCAUUUAGAAGUAUGUAGUUAUGUAGGUGUCUUCUGCGGUGAUGGUACUUCAUAGGGCCUAGCUGUAGACCGGCGUCGCAUUGCUGCUUUUUCUGGGUGAAGUGCAAAAUGAGGUCUCGCUUGCGGAAACGUCUCUAGGGAGGACUCUGGCCUUGACGCUGGAAGCCCUGGUCUCCAACGCAAGCCUGGCCUGAGGGCUGCAUCUGCAGAUUUUGCAAAAAAGGCUUCUACUGACCCGUCUUGAAACACGGACCAAGGAGUCUACCACAAGUGCGAGUUUUAGGGUGGAAAAACCCGACGGCGCAACGAAAGUGAGUAUAAGGUGCGAAUCCGUAAGGAGGCAGCAUCGGCCAACCUUGAUUUUCGAAUGAAAGGAUUGAGCAAGAGCAUUUUUGGUAGGACCCGAAAGAUGGUGAACUACGCUUGAGUAGGGCGAAGCCAGGGGAAACUCUGGUGGAGGCUCGAAGCGUUA
rfam:Reticulomyxa filosa solexa499146_1.f1.exp, whole genome shotgun sequence.